rnacentral:rRNA from 1 species
GACGAACGCUGGCGGCGUGCCUAAUACAUGCAAGUCGAGCGGACUUAAAAAGCUUGCUUUUUAAGUUAGCGGCGGACGGGUGAGUAACACGUGGGCAACCUGCCUGUAAGACUGGGAUAACUUCGGGAAACCGGAGCUAAUACCGGAUAAUCCUUUUCUACUCAUGUAGAAAAGCUGAAAGACGGUUUACGCUGUCACUUACAGAUGGGCCCGCGGCGCAUUAGCUAGUUGGUGAGGUAACGGCUCACCAAGGCGACGAUGCGUAGCCGACCUGAGAGGGUGAUCGGCCACACUGGGACUGAGACACGGCCCAGACUCCUACGGGAGGCAGCAGUAGGGAAUCUUCCGCAAUGGACGAAAGUCUGACGGAGCAACGCCGCGUGAGUGAUGAAGGUGUUCGGAUCGUAAAACUCUGUUGUUAGGGAAGAACAAGUACGAGAGUAACUGCUCGUACCUUGACGGUACCUAACCAGAAAGCCACGGCUAACUACGUG